rnacentral:tRNA from 1 species
GGCAUAGCUCAGCUGGUAGAGCAGCUGAUUUGUAAUCAGCAGGUCGGGGGUUCGAAUCCGUCUGCC